AAUGUCCGCAAGGCGACCCCAUUGUGUCAGGAAAAGGGAAGGUCCUAUAUGAAUAUUUCAUGUUUUGAAAUCCGCUCCCCCCUCUUUUUCCGCGUAAAUACAUGACUCUUCUUUCUUCCAUUUUUUGUUCUUCCCUCCAUUUGAUGGUG
ensembl:ncRNA R02D5.13 ncRNA